AUCCCGACUGGUACGCGCGCCCGACUUCAAACCCGGGGGCUCC
rnacentral:tRNA from 1 species